CCUACGGGUGGCACCAGUGGGGAAUAUUGGACAAUGGGCGAAAGCCUGAUGCAGCCAUGCCGCGUGUAUGAAGAAGGCCUUCGGGUUGUAAAGUACUUUCAGCGGGGAUGAAGGGAGUAAAGUUAAUACCUUUGCUCAUUGACGUUACCCGCAGAAGAAGCACCGGCUAACUCCGUGCCAGCAGCCGCGGUAAUACGGAGGGUGCAAGCGUUAAUCGGAAUUACUGGGCGUAAAGCGCACGCAGGCGGUUUGUUAAGUCAGAUGUGAAAUCCCCGGGCUCAACCUGGGAACUGCAUCUGAUACUGGCAAGCUUGAGUCUCGUAGAGGGGGGUAGAAUUCCAGGUGUAGCGGUGAAAUGCGUAGAGAUCUGGAGGAAUACCGGUGGCGAAGGCGGCAACCCGGCUCGAUACUGACGCUGAGGCGCGAAAGCGUGGGGAGCAAACAGGAUUAGAUACCCGAGUAGUC
rnacentral:rRNA from 1 species